rnacentral:tRNA from 1 species
GUCCCUGUAGUUCAAUGGAUAGAACAAGGCACUCCUAACGCCUAGAUGCAAGUUCGAUUCUUGCCGGGGACA